rnacentral:other from 1 species
UGGGCCCUGCUUUGUACGCGGAUUGACAGUUAUACUCUGGCCUUCAAUAAGUUUCGGGAGUUCGAAGACGGUGGAGAAAGGAUUCCUGCCUGCGGUUUCGGGGGCGCGUCUCCCGCCCGCAGGGUGGUAACCGGAAGCCAUCGGAUAGGGCACCCACCUCAAGAAUGAGGUUACAGAGUCGCUGUGUUACGGCAAAGUGGGGCCUUU